ACGAACGCUGGCGGCGUGGAUUAGGCAUGCAAGUCGGACGGUAGAGCUUUAUCGUAAGAUAGAGUUUGAGAGUGGCGAACGGGUGAGUAACACGUAGGAAUCUACCCUUAAGACGGGGACAACCCAGGGAAACUUGGGCUAAUACCGGAUGAGAGUGCGAGAGAUUGCAUUUAAAAGGAUGGCGAAAGUUGUCGCUUAGGGAUGAGCCUGCGGUCUAUUAGUUAGUUGGUGAGGUAAGAGCUCACCAAGGCGAUGAUAGAUAGGCGGCCUUAACGGGUGGUCGCCCACACUGGGAUUGAGAUACGGCCCAGACUCCUACGGGAGGCAGCAGUCGAGAAUAGUCUACAAUGGCCGGAAGGCUGAUAGUGCGACGCCGCGUGAACGAGGGAGCCCUUCGGGGUGCAAAGUUCUUUUCUAUACGAGCAGUGCUAUAUAUAUGGAUAGUAUAUAUAGAGGGAUAGUAGUAUAGGAAUAAGCAACGGCUAACUCCGUGCCAGCAGCCGCGGUAACACGGGGGUUGCGAGCGUUGUCCGGAAUUACUACGCGUAAAGGGCAGGUAGGCGGAUCUACGAGUUUUUUGUUAAAGGCUACGGCUCACUGUAGUAGAGCAGGAGAUACUUGUAGUCUGGAAUGCGGUAGGGAAGAACAGGAAUUCCUGGUGUAGCGGUGGAUUGCGCAGAGAUCAGGAGAAUACGAAGGCGAAAGCAGUCUUCUAGGCCGUAAUUGACGCUUAACUGCCGAAGGUGUGGGGAUCAAACAGGAUUAGAUGCCUGGUAGUCCACACAGUAAACGAUAAUCACUAGAUGUCGGGUUCUAUAUGGAUUCGGUGUCGGAGCUAACGCGAUAAGUGAUUCGCCUGGGGAGUACGAUCGCAAGGUUGAAACUCAAAGGAAUUGACGGGGGCCCGCACAAGCGGUGGAGCAUGUGGUUUAAUUCGAGGCAACGCGAAGAACCUUACCCGGUUUUGACAUCCACGGGAGGCUUCAGAGAUGGAGCUGUGCCGGCGUAAGCUGGAGCCGUGAGACAGGUGCUGCAUGGCUGUCGUCAGCUCGUGUCGUGAGAUGUUGGGUUAAGUCCCGCAACGAGCGCAACCCUUGCCUUCAGUUACCAUCAUUAAGUUGGGGACUCUGGAGGGACCGCUGCGGUAACAACGCAGAGGAAGAUGGGGACGACGUCAAGUCAUCAUGGUCCUUAUGGCCGGGGCUACACACGUGCUACAAUGGCAGUUACAGAGGGAUGCGAUUCAGUAAUGAGGAGCGAAACUCAGAAAAGCUGCCGCAGUUCGGAUUGAGGUCUGCAACUCGGCCUCAUGAAGUCGGAAUCGCUAGUAAUCGCGCAACAUCAUGGCGCGGUGAAUACGUUCCCGGGCCUUGCACACACCGCC
rnacentral:rRNA from 1 species